rnacentral:rRNA from 1 species
GAUGAACGCUGGCGGCGUGCCUAAUACAUGCAAGUCGAGCGAACAGACGAGGAGCUUGCUCCUCUGACGUUAGCGGCGGACGGGUGAGUAACACGUGGAUAACCUACCUAUAAGACUGGGAUAACUUCGGGAAACCGGAGCUAAUACCGGAUAAUAUAUUGAACCGCAUGGUUCAAUAGUGAAAGACGGUUUUGCUGUCACUUAUAGAUGGAUCCGCGCCGCAUUAGCUAGUUGGUAAGGUAACGGCUUACCAAGGCGACGAUGCGUAGCCGACCUGAGAGGGUGAACGGCCACACGGGAACUGAGACACGGUCCAGACGCCUACGGGAGGCAGCAGUAGGGAAUCUUCCGCAAUGGGCGAAAGACUGACGGAGCAACGCCGCGUGAGUGAUGAAGGUCUUCGGAUCGUAAAACUCUGUUAGUAGGGAAGAACAAAUGUGUAAGGAACUAUGCACGUCUUGACGCUACCUAAUCAGAAAGCCACGGCUAACUACGUG